rnacentral:rRNA from 1 species
AGUGAACGCUGGCGGUAGGCCUAACACAUGCAAGUCGAACGGCAGCACAGUAAGAGCUUGCUCUUACGGGUGGCGAGUGGCGGACGGGUGAGGAAUACAUCGGAAUCUACUUUUUCGUGGGGGAUAACGUAGGGAAACUUACGCUAAUACCGCAUACGACCUACGGGUGAAAGCAGGGGAUCUUCGGACCUUGCGCGAUUGAAUGAGCCGAUGUCGGAUUAGCUAGUUGGCGGGGUAAAGGCCCACCAAGGCGACGAUCCGUAGCUGGUCUGAGAGGAUGAUAGCCAAACCUGGACCUGGGCACCGGCCCAGCCCCUACCGGGGGCAACCGGUGGGAAUUAUUGGCCAUUGGGCGAAGGCUUGUCCCAGCAAUCCCGCGUGGGUGAGGAGGGCUUUCGGGUUGUAAAGCCUUUUUGUUGGAAAAAAAAACAGGCAGGUUAAUCCCCCGCUGUUCUGCCGGUCCCCAAAGAAUAAGCCCGGCUUACUUUCGU